rnacentral:rRNA from 1 species
UACGGAAGGUGCAAGCGUUAAUCGGAAUUACUGGGCGUAAAGCGCGCGUAGGCGGCUUCGUAAGUCGGGUGUGAAAUCCCCGGGCUCAACCUGGGAACUGCGCUCGAUACUGCGGAGCUCGAGUACGAGAGAGGGGGGUGGAAUUCCAGGUGUAGCGGUGAAAUGCGCAGAUAUCAGGAAGAACACCUAUGGCGAAGGCAGCUCUCUGGGACGGUACUGACGCUGAGACGCGAAAGCGUGGGGAGCGAACAGG